CUCAAUCCCCAAAGGCCUCUACUGCACCCAGACCCUUCCCUCUACACCUCCAAAGACGAUGUUCUGGAUGCAAUUCCCCCAGUUGUUAGAGCUCUUCCUGAAGCUCAGUACAGCGGAUGAAAUUCCCACCCGAGGUUGGAAAUGAAAACCUCCAGACUUGCCUUCAGCCGGCCGAUCUGAGGCUAAAGUCCAGCAGCCAGUUCCUGGCAGAUCUCACACAUACAGUUAUGCAUGAGUACUAAGGGCUGUCCUCAGUGAGCCUGACAGCAUGAACUGACCAUGCUAGUGGCAGGAUGGGGAUCUUUGAUGGACAGCUCCUCCUUUAUGACAGGAAAAUCCCACACUGAUGCUC
ensembl:lincRNA Gm43635 predicted gene 43635